UACAGAGGGGGCAAGCGUUGUUCGGAAUUACUGGGCGUAAAGGGCGCGUAGGUGGCCUUCUAAGUCGAACGUGAAAUCCCUGGGCUCAACCCAGGAACUGCGUCCGAUACUGGAAGGCUUGAAUCCGGGAGAGGGAUGUGGAAUUCCAGGUGUAGCGGUGAAAUGCGUAGAUAUCUGGAGGAACACCGGUGGCGAAGGCGGCAUCCUGGACCGGUAUUGACGCUGAGGCGCGAAAGCCAGGGGAGCAAACGGG
rnacentral:rRNA from 1 species